ensembl:snRNA U6 U6 spliceosomal RNA
AUGCUUGCUUUGGCAGUACAUAUACUAAAAUUGGAAUGCACAGAAGAUUAGUAUGGGCCCUGUGCAAGGAUGACACACGUAUUCAUAAAGUGUUCCUCAUUUGG